rnacentral:rRNA from 1 species
AGUGAACGCUGGCGGCAUGCCUAAUACAUGCAAGUCGAAGGAAGUGGCGCACGGGUGAGUAAUAUAUAGCUAAUCUGCCCCUUGCUGGAGGACAACAGUUAGAAAUGACUGCUAAUACUCCAUAGCAAGGGAUGAGACUAUAUCGUAUCAGCUAGUCGGUGGGGUAACGGCCUACCGAGGCUAUGACGCGUAACUGGUCUGAGAGGAUGAUCAGUCAAAUUGGAACUGAGACACGGGCCAAACACCUACGGGAGGCAGCAGUAGGGUAUACUGCGCAAGGGGGGAAAGCCUGACGGAGCUACGCCGCGUGGAGGAUGACACUUUGCGGAGAGUAAAGUCGUUUUGUUAGGGAAGCGGUACCUAACGAAUAAGCACCGGCUAACUCCGUGCCAGCAGCCGCGGUAAUAC